rnacentral:rRNA from 1 species
GCUCGUAGUUGGAUCUCGGCGGACAGAAGUCGGUCCGAAUGCUUUCGGUACUGGCUUGUUUGUCCGUGUGUUUUGCCAGAGGCAGGCGGGUGCUCUUCGCCGAGUGUCCGUCUGUGCUGGCAGGUUUACUUUGAAAAAAUUAGAGUGCUCAAAGCAAGCUCUCACGCUUGAAUAUUCGUGCAUGGAAUAAUAGAAUAGGAUGUCGUUUCUAUUUUGUUGGUUUUCGGAAAUCGACAUAAUGAUUAAUAGGGACAGUCGGGGGCAUUUGUAUUCAAACGACAGAGGUGAAAUUCUUGGACCGUUUGAAGACAAACUACUGCGAAAGCAUUUGCCAAGAAUGUUUUCAUUAAUCAAGAACGAAAGUUAGAGGUUCGAAGGCGAUUAGAUACCGCUCUAGUUCUAACCAUAAACGGUGCCAGCUAGCGAUCUGCAGGCGUUUUACUUUACGACCUUGCAGGGAGCUUCCGGGAAACCAAAGCUUGUGGGUUCCAGGGGAAGUAUGGUUGCAAAGCUGAAACUUAAAGGAAUUGACGGAAGGGCACCACCAGGAGUGGAGCCUGUGGCUUAAUUUGACUCAACACGGGAAAUCUCACCAGGCCCGGACACGAGAAGGAUUGACAGAUUGAUAGCUCUUUCUUGAUUUCGUGGGUGGUGGUGCAUGGCCGUUCUUAGUUGGUGGAGUGAUUUGUCUGGUUAAUUCCGAUAACGAACGAGACUCUGUCCUGCUAACUAGUGUCUGCUU